rnacentral:rRNA from 1 species
GGCGGCGUGCCUAAUACAUGCAAGUCGAACGGUCUUUCUAUGGAAGCUUGCUUCCACUGAGGAGAUAGUGGCGAACGGGUGAGUAACACGUGGGUAACCCUGCCCAUAAGAGGGGGAUAACAUCCGGAAACGGGUGCUAAUACCGCAUAGUUUCUUGAUCGCAUGAUCGGGAAAGGAAAGACGGCCUUUGUGCUGUCGCUUAUGGAUGGACCCGCGGCGUAUUAGUUAGUUGGUGAGGUAACGGCUCACCAAGACGAUGAUACGUAGCCGACCUGAGAGGGUGAUCGGCCACAUUGGGACUGAGACACGGCCCAAACUCCUACGGGAGGCAGCAGUAGGGAAUCUUCCGCAAUGGACGAAAGUCUGACGGAGCAACGCCGCGUGAGUGAAGAAAAGGUUUUCGGAUCGUAAAACUCUGUUGUCAGAGAAGAACAAGUUGGAGAGUAACUGCUCCAGCCUUGACGGUAUCUGACCAGAAAGCCACGGCUAACUACGUGCCAGCCGCCGC